rnacentral:lncRNA from 13 species
AUGCUUUCGUUGUAUAUUAGCCACUGUGUUUUAAACACACUUGUCGUAUCUCCUGAGGGGGUCUGCUGGACGGAGAAAGAAACUCUGGGGCUGAACAUUGUCGUGAAAGAGGAGAAGGAAGAAGAGGAUGUCACAGUAAAACAAGAAACAGAGGUUGAGGCUGUUACAGUGAAAGAAGAAGAGAAAGACGUUAAAUUGACAGAAGAGGAAGACACGUUCAGAGUGAAAGAGGAGGAGGAUGUUACAGUAAAAGAAGAGGAAGAGAAAGAGGGGGAGGAGGGGGAGAUGUCUGUCACCGUGAAAGAAGAGGAAGACGUUUUUGGAAUGAAGGAAGUGGGGGAGAUUACUGUCACAUUGGAGGAGGAAGAAGAAGAGGAGACAGGAAUUCUGAUUAACAACAGUGAGUAAUAUCUUAAACACAGGGGUCCAAACUCUGCAGUUGUUGAACCGAUGUGUGGUUUUAAAGUGGUAUUUACUGAAGUUCUACACGUUAAUAGUUCUGUACUGUAGGAAUCGCUAAAGCUACAAGGAGACGGGGGCGGCCAACAAAACGUUAAUGGAUCAAAUGCUUCCCAUUACAUUUUUUCACAACAUUUGUAAACAUCUGAAUAUCUCUUUCUGUGGUGCUUUGCUUGACAUCACAUUAAAUCAAAAAUCAACUCAUGUCUGACUUCAAAUGAUGAAGAGGACAGAAUCAAGACAAGGAAGAAUAAUUUUGAUCAGGAUGAAAUGUAUACAAUAAUAAUUUCCACAGGUUAUUUAAAAUCCGAUGGAGUUCGUUUUGUCCCAACAGAAAUAAGGGGUUAAAUGUGUGUCCCAUAGGGCGGCGCACAAUUGGCCCAGCGUCUCCCGGGUUAGGGGAGGGUCUGCUUGGGGUAGGCUGUCAUUGUAAAAAUAAGAAUUUGUUCUUAACUGGCUUGCAUAGUUAAAAAAAAAAAAUUGUUGUUGCAAAUUGCUAAAUGAUCAAUGGCAUCACCAUGUUAAAACACUUCCAUAUGUUAACUCAGUCUAAAAACACCAACAUUCCCCAUGUUGGAAAUUAUGGAAAUGGAUCAUUUCUGUCAAACAGUAACACUGUUUAUUUUCUUAACCUUUUGUAACACAAGUUAAUGUUUUAAAUUCCCC